GUGUGGCCUGAGGGGUGGAGAACUGGAAGGUGGUGGUGCUAAGAGGCCACUGGUGCCAACAGCUAUCUUAUCCAAGGAAUGGACAGGGUGGAUUUCUGCCUGCAAAAAAAACCAAAAAACAAAAAACAAGAUUUUUGCAUUUUUAACUUUUGCUGUACCUACGAUUAGCUUUUCUGCAGGCUCAAAUGGUGUUCCAUUUUGGGUAGAAAACUAACACUCAAGUGGGCAUAAAAACUUGUUAACAUACACAGUGUCAUCAUGUUGUGUCAUGUAUGUUCAGGAGGAAGAAAGAUUCUUGCAACCUAAACAGGGAGCAGGUAACUUCAGAUAUUACAUUAGAAUUUGUUUUGAAAGUGGUUAUUGCUCAACUAUUUCGAUUUUUGAAAUUGGUAAUAGUUAUUUAAGAGCCUUUACAAAGGCCUAGCCUCUAGGCUGCUUCAAAGCAAACGACAAAUAGGAAGAAAGCUUACACUGGAAACCACGUGUCUCCCGGUAGGAAGUACAUUACUAUUCCAUUUCCCGGGUUCGUUCUAGAUGUGAGCCGUAACAAUGUAAAUAUUUCUAAAUACUGGAUUUGACAUCCGUGUAUUUACUUGUCUCACCUGUAAAAGAGCUAGGAUUCCCUCCUCUGGGACCAACAAGUAAAAAUAAUUUCCCGUUAGUAUACCGGGUACAGAGGAAAAAAGAAAACGGGGCCAUUAAACAGUUCUAACCCCGGAGGUGGGUUCUCGCGUCAACAAAGUGGACCGGAGGCGGCAAAGCUCUUCAAGCUCGGGGCCUGCAGGUGCAGGAGCGGUCAUAACAUGAGGAGAGACCCGCAAGGUGACACCUUAGUUUGGACCGUAGAUUGGAGUUCUGGGCCCCAGCUCCCGGGCUGGCUUCCCGUCUGAGCCCGGCCGACUCACCUGGCAGCGGCACACGAUGUCGGCGUCUUGCGCCAGCAGAUCCACCACCUUCCCCUUGCCUUCGUCGCCCCAUUGCGCGCCGAGCACCACCGUCACCCGGUUGCCUCCAGGCCGCGCCCUGGGGCGGCCGCAGUCGCCGUUGGGCAAGGAGGAUGCCGCCGGGUUGGUCUCGGCGAACGCCAUGGCUCCAGAGACGCGAGGAGAGCCCGAAGGGGACGCGGGCGGUCGGGAGUGCGCGAACUGAACUGCUCUGCCGCCGCCAGCCACAUGCAGAGGAAGAAGGAGCCAGAGCCAGCCCGCCCCUGCCCCUGCCCCGCCUGCCGGGUCGCCACCCUCCCGCCAGGCCCGCCCCGCCCCGCGUCCCCGCGGCCCUCUCGGGGAGGGGGGCACCAGGACCUCCCCGCGCACGCCGGCCGCGGCAGCACCGCCCCAGGAAAAGGAUACGCCCCUUCCGCGACCGGGCGCGCCCCUCCAGUGCGAACCCGGCGAGCAGAAAGGGGAGGGGGCGUGGCUUCAAGCGUGCCUCAGCCUCGACGCCCCGCCCACUCGCCGGGGAAAGGCCGCUUUUCAAACUGGAGAGGCGCGGAAGUGCGUGCCGGGGCGUCGGACUACAACUCCCAAGCAGCGCUCUGGCUCAAGCGACGUAUUCCGGUGAUUUGGUGUCUGCCAUCUGCAGGUUUCGGUCUCUGAAUAUGUUCAUUUUUUUAAAUCAUCUUUUAAUUUGUUUCUAUUAAGGAAUGAGAUAAUGUAUACAAGAUGCAAAGGGUGGAAUUUAAAAGUACAAAUGAGGUGAAGUUGGGACAAAUUACAGACAGUAUUGGAAAGUAAAGCUCUGCAAGUGAGAACAGAGAUGGGGACCAGGAUCAAAAAGGGCAAACUCCAAAGUAAGGCAGUCAUGCAGAGGACAUUAGUCCUGGAAACGUAGAGAUCUAGUAGAGCCCGAAACCUUCUCAUUUUACACUUUAGUAGCAAAGUCUCAGAGAGGGGGAGUCAAUUACCAAUGUCGCGUAAUAUGUGCCUGAUACUGUAAUGCAUUUUUAAUUCCCACAACCAAAUGAGAUAAGUAAUAUCUUAUCCUUAUUUUACAGGGUUUAAAAGUUAGCUAACUUCCUCUAAGGGGGGUUGAAUUGGUACCUAAAUGGUCUGAGUCCAGAGCCCAAGCCCUUUCUGUAUAUCGUGCUCCUCCAUAUACAUCAGGUGCCGCUAGAUUCCCAAGUAUACUGUGAAAACAAAUAGAUCCCACUUUAAAUGGCAUCGGGAAGCCCAAAGGGGAAACUCUCGUGCAGAUACCCCUCCUAGCAGACUGCAUAUCCAGAAGGAAGAUAAGAAUAUAACUUCUUCUGUGGUAAGGGAGGACAUUUUUCACAUAGGAAUUUUCAUGGCCCUCUUUAAAAAAAAAAAAAAGGAACGCAGAUUCCUCCCUGCCCCAGCACCAAUACUGUAACCUUUGAAAUCUUUUUGUCACUUUAGUUAAAUGAAUAAUUAAAUAUCAUUUCAUGGGGUUCCCACUGUGGCCCAAUGGGAUUGGUGGUGUCUUGCAGUGCAGUUCAGGUUAGAUCCCUGGCCCCACACAGUGGGUUAAAGGAUCUGCCUUAGUGCAGCUGUGGUUGUAGGUCGAAACUGUGGCCUGGCAACUCCAUAUGCCACGGGAUAGCCAAAAAUGUAUAUAUAUAUUAUAUAUAUGUAAGAAGAAAAAAAUAUUUCAUAAUGAACUCCAUAUGCCAUGGGAUAGCCAAAAGUAUACAUAUAUAUUAUAUAUAUAAUAAAAAAUAUUUCAUAAUGAACUCCAUAUGCCAUGGGAUAGCCAAAAGUAUACAUAUAUAUUAUAUAUAUAAAAUAAGAAAAAAAUAUUUCAUAAUGAUCUGUGAUUCAAUUUAGUCAUGUCCAAAAAUUUGAUAUUUUUGAAAAACUUCCCCCAAAUCACAUUAUAAAUGAAGUCUUUUUGACCUUCAAUUAACUUUGGGGUUUUUCUGGAGGGCUCCUGGAACAUUUCAAAAGUUCUACCCUCACUCCUUAUAAAAAGGGAGAUAUUAAAUUAAUUAGGUUAUUUGGAAAAUUACAUGGGAAACAUUGACAAAUAGGAAAUAAUACUAAGCCUUCUUUAAGUUGCAUCUAUAUAGGUAUAUGCUAUAAAUAUUUCAGAAAUUAUAUGACAUUACUAGAAGUCUGAUAUGUCCUGGGAUUAAUCAUUCAGAAUUCAUUCAUAAAAUAGUCUAUGUCAUAGAACUAACCAAAUUCCCCAGUUAAUUCCGCUAUAAUGAACUCAUUGGAUCUUUAAUAAUGGGCAUUUAAGUCUUUUAUCAUUCACAGACAGUUGUUUUACUCUGACACGUUACAAAGUGUUUCUACAAAAAUACUUCAUCUUAAGGAGAUUUGUGGAAAAGACCCUAACAAGUACUCUAGAAUACAGGUUUUUGGUAACUUUAAGAUCACAACACUGAACUGGGUAAAAAUUUCUAAAACUUUAAUGGAGAAUUGACUCAUAAAGCUGCUAACCCAAGGUCAAGAUUAACAAGAUUUACAGGAGACGAAAUGAGAAAAUGAGGAUGAUUGUAACUUAUGAUUUCUUGUGCUGGUUCCCUAAUGUUUUACUUUUCUGAAUGAAGUCUUUUUGAGGAUGAAUAUAA